CGCGGCCUAUCAGCUUGUUGGUGAGGUAAUGGCUCACCAAGGCGACGACGGGUAGCCGGCCUGAGAGGGUGACCGGCCACACAGGGACUGAGACACGGCCCAGACUCCUACGGGAGGCAGCAGUGGGGAAUAUUGCACAAUGGGCGCAAGCCUGAUGCAGCGACGCCGCGUGAGGGAUGACGGCCUUCGGGUUGUAAACCCCUUUCAGCAGGGACGAAAAUGACGGUACCUGCAGAAGAAGCCCCGGCCAACUACGUGCCAGCAGCCGCGGUAACACGUAGGGGGCAAGCGUUGUCCGGAUUUAUUGGGCGUAAAGAGCUCGUAGGCAGUUGCGUAAGUCGGAUGUGAAAACUCAGGGCUCAACCCGGAGACUGCAUUCGAUACUGCGCUGACUAGAGUCCGGUAGGGGAGCAUGGAAUUCCUGGUGUAGCGGUGAAAUGCGCAGAUAUCAGGAGGAACACCAGUGGCGAAGGCGGUGCUCUGGGCCGGUACUGACGCUGAGGAGCGAAAGCGUGGGUAGCGAACAGGAUUAGAUACCCUGGUAGUCCACGCCGUAAACGUUGGGCACUAGGUGUGGGGCCUACUUAACGGGUUCCGUGCCGUAGCUAACGCAUUAAGUGCCCCGCCUGGGGAGUACGG
rnacentral:rRNA from 1 species